UGCAAGUCGAGCGGUAUUGUUUCUUCGGAAACGAGAGAGCGGCGCACGGGUGCGGAACACGUGUGCAACCUGCCUUUAUCUGGGGGAUAGCCUUUCGAAAGGAAGAUUAAUACCCCAUAAUAUUUUGAAUGGCAUCAUUUAAAAUUGAAAACUCCGGUGGAUAGAGAUGGGCACGCGCAAGAUUAGAUAGUUGGUAGGGUAACGGCCUACCAAGUCAGUGAUCUUUAGGGGGCCUGAGAGGGUGAUCCCCCACACUGGUACUGAGACACGGACCAGACUCCUACGGGAGGCAGCAGUGAGGAAUAUUGGACAAUGGGUGAGAGCCUGAUCCAGCCAUCCCGCGUGAAGGACGACGGCCCUAUGGGUUGUAAACUUCUUUUGUACAGGGAUAAACCUUUCCACGUGUGGAAAGCUGAAGGUACUGUACGAAUAAGCACCGGCUAACUCCGUG
rnacentral:rRNA from 1 species